GUAAGCGCGCUGGGAGACGACCAGUUCGAUAGGCCGGUGGUGGAAGCGUGGUAACACGUGUAGCCUACCGGUACUAACGCGCGAGGGCUUGCCGCG
rfam:Ardenticatena maritima DNA, contig: NODE_80, strain: 110S.